rnacentral:tRNA from 1 species
UCCCUGGUGGUCCAGUGGUUAAGAAUCUGCCUUCCAAUGCAGGGGACGUAGGUUCAAUCCCUGGCCAGGGAA